rfam:Nicotiana sylvestris Nsyl_contig66726, whole genome shotgun sequence.
ACGACCUUACUUGAACAUGAUCUGUUCUAUAGGCUCGUGCCACUGUAUCCUUGAGUUCUAAGGAGACAGAAAACCAAGUCUGGUUGAUGAGGCGUGGCUAUGAGGCUAGAGCAUGAUUAACAACUUUCCAUGGUCACUUGUGGCCUAGGAUGGUCUCAUAGCUGUCUGACAGACU